rfam:Martelella sp. AD-3, complete genome.
CAGCGGCGCACGUUAGCGCCGAUGCCUGAUGGAGGCUCGUCCCCCGCCUCGUCAGACAACAGGACAAAGGCUCCAUCCCCCCUCUCCGGCCUUUGUCCCAAAAAGCAGCCGCCAUGGCCAGCCCCCCUCCAGGCCAUGGCGGCUUAUU